ACAUCAUGCCAGGAACACAUCCUUGCAUCCUCAGCCAGCCGCAAAAGGGAGCCACCACCCCUGCCAGCAAAAUGUCUUCUGCAAGGAGACCCUCCUCCAAUUGUUCCUUUCCAGAGCAUAGCUCUGACUGGUAGAGCCUCCGUCAUAGGGCGCACCCUGACUGCAAAACAGACUGUGAGAUUUACUUUCUGGGUUCUACCUUGGGAAGAAGGAAUACAAGUCUGUAAAAUAGUCCAUACAUAGUGACAGUGUGCAAAGAGUACUGGAAAGCAAGGGAAAAGAUUACACAUAUUUGCUACAAGCCCAAAUUAUCACUGGUUUUAGAUCCAGGCAAGUUGAGACAACACCUGCAGUGUCAGCCAAUAUUUGAAGCAUCUGUCAUGUCAUCAAGUUUUGCUAGAUGAAAAUGACCUGGAUUUUUAAAAAAAGAAAGAAACAAAAGAAAAGAAAGAGGAAACACUUAAUACCUCAGGCAGCAGGCUGUACCCUAGAGUAAGACAUUUUAUGUUUUUCAUGGCUUAUGACUCCAGCUAGAAUCUCCUAUAGAAUUCUAAAUAGAAAUGAAUAUAAUGAAUAUCCUUGUCUCAUUCCAAUCUCUGGGUGUAUCAUCAACACAGGAAAGAUGACCUAGCAGCAGCUGCAGCAGUGCCAGAUUCCCUGCCAGUCCCCUCCUGGGCCCCCAAGCCCUGCUCUGUACCCCACAGCUGGCAGAAGUGGACUUCCUCCCCAUGCUAACAGGAAUACCACCAAAGCCAAAGAGGAUCUUCUGAAGCCUCCCUUCCCCCCAGCUUCUAGGCAGUACGUUGCUCCCUGCACCCUCUCCAAUCUCUUUCUUCCAGAAUCACAAAGCCCAGAAAUUACCUUUCAUCUACUGAAAGAGAAAGAUACCUUCAUAGACCAACAAUCUGAGAGCAGUUCAUCAACGGUCUCCUCCCGGCUCCUCCUCCAGACAACACCAAGGCUUGGACACGUGGGCCGUGUUUCAGGCAUCUUUCAUGAACAGCAGACCUGCUCUCCAUUCUCUAUUUUGACACUGUGUGGUCAGGACCAGUCAGUUCAUCCAACUGUUGCCUCCACCACCACUACUGCCACCUGCUGGCUCAAGAAGGCAUCUCAAGAGGUGAAGAUGAGGAAUACCAGCCAAGAGAAGCUGUUGGAGAGCUUGCCAAUGCCUAGGCGCUACAGGAGUCAUGCACAGCUAGACAAAGCAGACACGCCUGUCAUACUAAAGAACUGUGGCCAACACCCAGCCAGCAGGGAGAGGAGAGUCUGUGAAGAACACAUUCAAGUUCUCCAUGGGAGAAAGCCCCUACCCAAAUGGACAAGAGGCAGCUGGGGCUUGCUGUGCUGGGAGCUAUGGAGUCACACAACAAUCGCCCCUCGAUGAUGCUGCAAUGACCUCAUAAGUGGAGGUCAUUGCCCCUGCCCCCACCCCCAGCUUCCUCAGAUCUGGGCAGAGGAACCAGAGGGAAAAUCCACCUUCCCAGGCACAGCCAUAACAUCCACCUCACUCAACUGCUUGUCAAGUUCACCACCAACACAGAGAGGGCUCAGAUAAUCAAGAAACAAUGUCAAGUGAUGAUAAAAGUAAAUCAAAUGACCCCAAGACUGAACCCAAGAACUGCGAUCCCAAGUGUGAACAAAAGUGUGAGUCCAAAUGCCAGCCCAGCUGUUUAAAGAAGCUGCUGCAACGCUGCUCCGAAAAGUGCCCACGGGAAAAGUGUCCAUCACCACCCAAGUGCCCGCCCUGCCCCUCGCAGUCUCCUUCGUCCUGCCCCCCCAAGCUCUGCACCAAGCCCUGUCCUCCUAAAUGCCCUUCGUCCUGCCCACCUGCUUGCCCACCUCCCUGCCCUCCCCCAGAGUGAGGCACUGGGGGCACUACCCAACCCCACCACCACUGCCACCUCCACCAUGUACAACACUGUGGGGCUGGAGACUGAAACCAUGAACUGACAAGUAAACGUGUUCCUCUGCUGUGCAAGACCGC